GACGAACGCUGGCGGCGUGCCUAAUACAUGCAAGUCGAGCGAAUCUUUAGGAGCUUGCUCCUGAAGAUUAGCGGCGGACGGGUGAGUAACACGUGGGCAACCUGCCUGUAAGACUGGGAUAACACCGGGAAACCGGUGCUAAUACCGGAUAAUCCUUUUCCUCUCAUGAGGAAAAGCUGAAAGUCGGUUUCGGCUGACACUUACAGAUGGGCCCGCGGCGCAUUAGCUAGUUGGUGAGGUAACGGCUCACCAAGGCGACGAUGCGUAGCCGACCUGAGAGGGUGAUCGGCCACACUGGAACUGAGACACGGCCCAGACUCCUACGGGAGGCAGCAGUAGGGAAUCUUCCACAAUGGACGAAAGUCUGAUGGAGCAACGCCGCGUGAGUGAUGAAGGCCUUCGGGUCGUAAAGGCUCUGUUGUUAGGGUAAGAACAAGUAUCGGAGUAACUGCCGGUACCUUGACGGUACCUAACCAGAAAGCCACGGCUAACUACGUGCCAGCAC
rnacentral:rRNA from 1 species